rnacentral:rRNA from 1 species
AACGAACGCUGGCGGCAGGCCUAACACAUGCAAGUCGAGCGAACCCUUCGGGGUUAGCGGCGGACGGGUUAGUAACGCGUGGGAAUAUACCCUUUGGUACGGAAUAGCCUCGGGAAACUGAGAGUAAUACCGUAUGUGCCCUUGGGGAAGAUUAUCGCCAAAGGAUUAGCCCGCGUUGGAUUAGAUAGUUGGUGGGGUAAUGGCCUACCAAGUCUACGAUCCAUAGCUGGUUUGAGAGGAUGAUCAGCAACACUGGGACUGAGACACGGCCCAGACUCCUACGGGAGGCAGCAGUGGGGAAUCUUAGACAAUGGGCGCAAGCCUGAUCUAGCCAUGCCGCGUGGACGAUGAAGGGCCUUAGGGUUGUAAAGUCCUUUCAGAUGGAAGGAUAAUGACGGUACCAUCAGAAGAAGCCCCGGCUAACUACCGUGCCAGCAGCCGCGGUAAAGU